UACGUAGGGUGCAAGCGUUUGUCCGGAAUUAUUGGGCGUAAAGAGCUCGUAGGCGGCCACUCAAGUCGAAUGUGAAACCUCGAGGCUUAACCUCGAGCCUGCAUUCGAUACUGGGCGGCUAGAGUCUGGUAGGGGGAUCUGGAAUUCCUGGUGUAGCGGUGAAAUGCGCAGAUAUCAGGAAGAACACCCGUGGCGAAGGCGGCUCACUGGUCCAUUACUGACGCUGAGGUGCGAAAGCGUGGGGAGCAAACAGG
rnacentral:rRNA from 1 species